rnacentral:rRNA from 1 species
CGUAGGUGGCAAGCGUUAUCCGGAUUUAUUGGGCGUAAAGCGAGCGCAGGCGGUUUUCUAAGUCUGAUGUGAAAGCCUUCGGCUUAACCGAAGAAGUGCAUCGGAAACUGGAUGACUUGAGUGCAGAAGAGGGCAGUGGAACUCCAUGUGUAGCGGUGGAAUGCGUAGAUAUAUGGAAGAACACCAGUGGCGAAGGCGGCUGCCUGGUCUGCAACUGACGCUGAGGCUCGAAAGCAUGGGUAGCGAACAGGAUU